ensembl:lncRNA
AAGAAAGGAGAUGGAGAAAAGAGGGAAAGAGAGAGAAUGGAGGGAUGAAGAGAAAAGAGAAGAGCGAGAAAUGAGAAAAACCAGGGGAGAAGAGAAAAGGAGGGAGAAAGGAGAGAUGAAAAAGAAAGAAGGAAAGAAAAAGGAGAAAUAGAAAGGAUAGAAUGACUGCAUGGAAUGGAUACAAAUACAAGACAAAGCGGGUGCUGCCGUGGGCCUCACCCCAUCCCAAAGCACUCACAGACGGCCCAGUCCUCGCGCUGCAGGAGCUGUUCACCCCUCCAUGUCCAGACUGUAAAUGAAUCGUGCAUGGGCUG